CAGUCGCCACGGGAAUACGGAGGGUGCGAGCGUUAAUCGGAAUAACUGGGCGUAAAGGGCACGCAGGCGGUGACUUAAGUGAGGUGUGAAAGCCCCGGGCUUAACCUGGGAAUUGCACUUCAUACUGGGUCGCUAGAGUACUUUAGGGAGGGGUAGAAUUCCACGUGUAGCGGUGAAAUGCGUAGAGAUGUGGAGGAAUACCGAAGGCGAAGGCAGCCCCUUGGGAAUGUACUGACGCUCAUGUGCGAAAGCGUGGGGAGCAAACAGGAUUAGAGACCCGAGUAGUCCCUGUCUCUUAUAC
rnacentral:rRNA from 1 species